CACUCCAGCUCAGCCAGCAUCUUCUUGGCUGUAGUCUUGUGCGUGCUUAUCGGGGUGGAGUACCUGUGCUCACAGCAGUCCUGGGAGUUCAGGGAGAACUUUGGGCGGGACCCAGAUGUCCCAGACAGAAUCCCAGUGGAUUAGGGAGAUAUAGAAGAUAAGGGAUUUGGGGAUGAGGCAGAGGAGCAGGACCACACCAUCUCCCCUCUUUCUUUAGUCUCAACAAAGGAAGCUAUAUGCUUGUCUCGGGAUUCACCGUCACCCUCUCAUUCCUCACAGGACUUGCCACCUGAGCCCCAGGAAGAUGUGUGCAGAGGACCAGACGGGACUCCAGGAUUUGACAGAAUGGUG
ensembl:lncRNA